rnacentral:rRNA from 1 species
AUACGUAGGGUGCAAGCGUUAAUCGGAAUUACUGGGCGUAAAGCGUGCGCAGGCGGUUCGGAAAGAAGGAUGUGAAAUCCCAGGGCUCAACCUUGGAACUGCAUUCUUAACUACCGAACUAGAGUAUGUCAGAGGGGGGUAGAAUUCCGCGUGUAGCAGUGAAAUGCGUAGAUAUGCGGAGGAAUACCGAUGGCGAAGGCAGCCCCCUGGGAUAAUACUGACGCUCAUGCACGAAAGCGUGGGUAGCAAACAGGAUUAGAUACCCUGGUAGUCCACGCCCUAAACGAUGUCAACUAGCUGUUGGGCCCUUCGGGGCUUAGUAGCGUAGCUAACGCGUGAAGUUGACCGCCUGGGGAGUACGGUCGCAAGAUUAAAACUCAAAUGAAUUGACGG